GGGGAAUAUUGCACAAUGGGGGAAACCCUGAUGCAGCGACGCCGCGUGAAGGAAGAAGUAUCUCGGUAUGUAAACUUCUAUCAGCAGGGAAGAUAAUGACGGUACCUGACUAAGAAGCCCCGGCUAACUACGUGCCAGCAGCCGCGGUAAUACGUAGGGGGCAAGCGUUAUCCGGAUUUACUGGGUGUAAAGGGAGCGUAGACGGCGCAGCAAGUCUGAUGUGAAAGGCAGGGGCUUAACCCCUGGACUGCAUUGGAAACUGCUGUGCUUGAGUGCAGGAGAGGUAAGUGGAAUUCCUAGUGUAGCGGUGAAAUGCGUAGAUAUUAGGAGGAACACCAGUGGCGAAGGCGACUUACUGGACUGUAACUGACGUUGAGGCACGAAAGUGUGGGGAGCAAACAGGAUUAGAUACCCUGGUAGUCCACACCGUAAACGAUGGAUACUAGGUGUAGGAUGUGUUAAACAUUCUGUGCCGUCGCAAACGCAGUAAGUAUCCCACCUGGGGAGUACGGCCGCAAGGUUGAAACUCAAAGGAAUUGACGGGGGCCCGCACAAGCAGUGGAGUAUGUGGUUUAAUUCGAAGCAACGCGAAGAACCUUACCAGGUCUUGACAUCGAGUGACGAAUCUAGAGAUAGAUUUUUCCUUCGGGACACAAAGACAGGUGGUGCAUGGUUGUCGUCAGCUCGUGUCGUGAGAUGUUGGGUUAAGUCCCGCAACGAGCGCAACCCCUAUCUUCAGUAGCCAGCAGGUUAAGCUGGGCACUCUGGAGAGACUGCCAGGGAUAACCUGGAGGAAGGUGGGGAUGACGUCAAAUCAUCAUGCCCCUUAUGACCAGGGCUACACACGUGCUACAAUGGCGUAAACAAAGAGAAGCGAACUCGCGAGGGUAAGCAAAUCUCAAAAAUAACGUCUCAGUUCGGAUUGUAGUCUGCAACUCGACUACAUGAAGCUGGAAUCGCUAGUAAUCGCAGAUCAGAAUGCUGCGGUGAAUACGUUCCCG
rnacentral:rRNA from 1 species